CAGCAAGCACCUAGACUUCAUGACGAUCUUCUUGGCGAGUUCUGAUGAGCUUCUUUGGCAAGCUCCUGGACUUCUCGGUUGGUUCCGACAGAACUUCCGACGAAUGUUCGGACUUCCGACUAACUCUCAAACUCCCAACAAAAUCAUGCAUAAGAAAUCUCAAGUUAUAAAUCUAGAAAAAUCAAGAUAAAGCUCAUUCAAAUUCAAAUCAUCAAAUCAAA
rnacentral:lncRNA from 1 species